GUCGAACCUUGCAGGAGGCAGCAGGAGGUGUGCAGUGAGGACACGCGUGUGACCACGGGACGUGGGACGAGGGGAGGCAUGGGAUAAGGAGAUGCGUAGAGUGAGGAUUUCUGUGGAGUGAGGUGAUGCGUGGAGUGAGGUGAUGCGUGGAGUGAGGAGAUGCGUGCAGUGAGGACAUGCGUGGAGUGAGGAGAUGCGUGGAGUGAGGAGAUGCGUGGAGUGAGGAGAUGCGUGCAGUGAGGACAUGCGUGGAGUGAGGAGAUGCGUGGAGUGAGGAGAUGCGUGGAGUGAGGAGAUGCGUGGAGUGAGGAGAUGUGUGGAGUGAGGAGAUGUGUGGAGUGAGGUGAUGUGUGGAGUGAGAUGCGUGCAGUGAGGAGAUGUGUGGAGUGAGGUGAUGUGUGGAGUGAGGUGAUGCGUGCAGUGAGGAGACGCGUGCAGUGAGGAGGUGAGUGGCGUGCGGAGUGGAGGGCUGGGAAACCACACCUGGGGCGGUUCUCCAGUUGCCCAAUCUUUAUCAAGCCCCUUCCUCCUCAUCUUUAAAACCAGAAGGCUGGCCAGUCAGUCUCUCAGGCCUCUCCCUGUUCUAGCCCCUGUGAUUCAGUAACAGCCCCACAGCUGCCAUAUCAGCCGGUUUUGCAGGGCUGAGCAUGGAAGGUGCCUGAGAGUGUGGCCAGCUCUCGGCAGGAGCAGGACUCUGCACUACAGGCUUCUAAGGCAGAAAAGCAUCUUCUGUCCACGACGACAAGGGUGUUUCCGCUGCAAGCGCUUCUCGCAUGCUUGAGACAACCUGACUGAGGGGUUGCCAGCAGGGGUGGGCACCAGCCGCACAACAAACCAAAUGACCUCUGCGGCCCAUUCCUUAAGACCGGGAACUCUGGACUAAAGUGUGCUGCCCUGUGUGCCCAGCAACCUGGCGACAGCAGUCGUUUCACACACAGCCCG
rnacentral:lncRNA from 10 species